GAGGAACACCAGUGGCGAAGGCGGCGCGCUGGGUUGACAUGACGUAAGACGCGAAAGCAUGGGGAGCGAAUGCGAUUAGAAACCUCGGUAGUCCAUGUUGUAAUCGCUGCAGAGUGGGUGUUGCGUGCGAUGGUGUUGCAGUGCCGAAGCCAACGUGAUAAGUUUCACACGUAGUGACUAUGGCCUCAACGUUAAAAUUCAAAGGAAUUGUCGGGGGCACGCACAAGCAGCGGAGCGUGUGGUUUAAUUCGAGGUUACACGAAGAACUUUACCUGGGCUUGACAUAGUGGUGGUAGGGAACCGAAAGGGGACCGACCUUCGGGAGCCGUCACAGGUGAUGCAUGGCGGUCGUUAGUUUGUGUCGUGAGAUGUUCUGUUAAGUCCGGAAACGAGUGCAACCCUCGCCGCUAUUUUCAAGUGUCUAGUGGGACUGCCCGUUGAACGCGGGAGGAAGGUGGGGAUGACGUCAAGUCAGCAUGGCCUUUAUUUCCAGGGGUACACACACGCUACAAUGGCCGGUACAAUGGGUCGCCAACCCGCGAGGGGGAGCCAAUCCAUCAAAUCCGGUCUCAGUUAGGAUAGCAGGCUGCAGCCCCCUUGCAUGAAGUUGGAGUUUUUAGUAACCGCAGGUCAGCUAUAUUGCGGUGAAUACGUUCCCGGGCCUUGUACA
rnacentral:rRNA from 1 species